rnacentral:rRNA from 1 species
CAAAACCCCCCCGCGCCCCCAGCCGCGGCAAUACCGGCAGCUCGCGUGGGCGUCCCUUUUAUAGGGCCUAAAACGUCCGUAGCCUGUUUGGUAAAUCUGUGGGUAAAUCAACCAGCUUAACUGGUUGAAUUCUGCAAGGACUGCCAGACUUCGGACCGGGAGAGGUGUGGGGUACUCUAGGGGUAGGGGUAAAAUCCUGUCAUCAUUAGAGGACCACCAGUUGGGAAGGCGCCACACUGGAACGGAUCCUAUGGUCACGGACGAAGCCUAAGGGCACGAACCGGAUUACAUACCCAGGUAGUCCUACGUGUAAACACUGUGAACUUGGUGUUGGGGAUCCGUCUUGGGUCCCCGGUGCCGGCCGAAGAUAUUAAGUUCACUCUCUGGGAGUACGGCGCAAGGUGAAAAUUAAAGGAAUUUGCGGGGGAGCGCCGCAACGGGAGGAGCAUGGGGUUUAAUUGGAGUCAACGGCGGAAAACUCACCAGCGCUGACUGUUUUAUGAAGACCAGUGUGAUGAAAUAGUUGGAUUUUCAGAGAAGUGAUGCAUGGCCGUUGUCAGUUCGUACUUUGAAGCGUUCGGUUAAGUCAGAAAUCGAACGAGACCCUCAUCUCUACUUGUUACCUGUCUCUCCGGAGGUAGCGCACUAUAGGGAGACCGCUGGUGUUAAACCAGAGGAAGGCGAGGGCAACGACAGGUCAGUAUCCCCUGAAUGUCUUGGGCUACACACGCGCAACAAAGGACGGGACAAAGGGAAGCCAGGCCGCGAGGCCGAGAAAACCCCUAACCCGUUCGUAGUUUGGAUUGAGGUUUUCACUUGCCCUCAUGAAGAAGGAUCCCGUAGUAAUCGUGUUUCAAAAUAGCACGGGGAAUAUGCCCCUGUCCUUUCACUCCCCCCCCCCCAAGGGGGGUUUCCCCCCCCCCGCGGCGGGAUA